GCCAGUGUGGUGUAGUGGUUUGGAUGUUAGUCCAGGACUCUGGACCAGGGUUCAAAUCCCCACUCAGGCG